AUACGGAGGAUGCGAGCGUUAUCCGGAUUUAUUGGGUUUAAAGGGUGCGUAGGCUGUGUGUUAAGUCAGGGGUGAAAUGCCGUCGCUCAACGACGGAGCUGCCCUUGAUACUGGCGUGCUGGAGUACGGAUGCCGUUGGAGGAAUGAGUGGUGUAGCGGUGAAAUGCUUAGAUAUCACUCAGAACACCGAUUGCGAAGGCAUCUGACGAAUCCGUCACUGACGCUGAGGCACGAAAGCGUGGGGAUAGAACAGGAUCAGAUACCCUGGUAUUCCACGCCGUAAACGAUGAUGACUAAACGUCGGCGAUAGACAGCCGGUGGCCAAGCGAAAGCGAUAAGUCAUCCACCUGGGGAGUACGUCGGCAACGAUGAAACUCAAAUGAAUUGACGGGG
rnacentral:rRNA from 1 species